CCCCUGCCUGCCUGCCCAGCAGCCACACUGGACUGCUGGUAAGAAAUCCACUCCAGCUUUCCCAGGGAGGCUGGGUGGAUUUAAAAUAAAUGUAAAAAAUAUUAGUUUGUGAGUGUUAGUGGAAAUGUCUGUGUGUGUGUCUGUGAGUGUUUAUUUUGAAGUGAAUGUGUGUGUGUGUGUCUGUAAGUGUGUAAUUGUGUGUGUCUGUAAGUGAAUGUGUGUGUGUCUGUGAGUGAAUGUGUGUGUUGGUCAGUGAGUGUAUAUGUGUCAGUCAGUGAGUGUGUAUGUGUCGUCAGUGAGUGUGUAUGUGUC